rnacentral:rRNA from 1 species
AAAACUUUUCGCUAAAAGAUGAGCCUGUGUAGGAUUAGGUAGUUGGUAUUUGGGUAAAAGCCUACCAAGCCUAUGAUCCUUAGCUGUUCUGAGAGGUUGUACAGCCACACUGGGACUGAGACAAGGCCCAGGCUUCAUUUGGAGCCAGCAGUGAGGAAUUUUGGACAAUGAGCGAAAGCUUGAUCCAGCAAUACUACAUGAGUGAUGAAGGCUUUCAAGUUGUAAAACUCUUUGGUUGAGGGGGAUAAUGACAGUACUCAACAAAAUAGCCCCGGCUAACUUCGUGCCAGCAGCCGCGGUAAGACGAAGGGGGCGAGCGUUAUCCGGAAUGACUGGGCGUAAAGGGUCCGUAGGCAGCAUUUUUUGUUAGAGGUUAAAUAAAAAAGCUUAACUUUUUUCCGCUUCUAAAACGUAAAUGCUUUGAGUUUGAUAGGAGAUAGCAGAAUUUCACAUGGAGGGGUGAUAUCCGUAGAUAUGUGAAGGAAUACCAGAGGCGAAGGCGGCUAUCUAGAUCAAUACUGACGUUGAGGGACGAAAGCAUGGGGAGCAAACAGGAUUAGAUACCCUGGUAGUCCAUGCCCUAAAAGAUGAGUGCUCGUGCUUAGAGAUUUUUAGGCACUUAGUUAACACGUUAAGCACUCCGCCUGGGGAGUACGACCGCAAGGUUGGAACUCAAAGGAAUUGACGGGGGCCUAUACAAGUGGUGGAGCAUGUGGUUUAAUGCGACAAUACGCGCGAAACCUUACCAGUUCUUGACAUAAAAAAGAAAAAGUUUGAAAGGACAAUUUUGAAGAUUUUUACAGGUGCUGCAUGGCUGUCGUCAGCUCGUGUCGUGAGAUGUUAGGUUAACUCCUUUUAACGGGCGAAACCCCUUUUUUUAGUUGCCACUUAAAUUUAGUUUUAAAGCACUCUAAAAAGACUGCUCCCUUUUUUUAAUUUGGAGAGGAAGGUGGGGAUGACGUCAAGUCCUUAUGGCCCUUAUGAACUGGGCUACACACGUGCUACAAUGGUAAAGACAAUAAGAAGCAAUAGGGCAACUUGGAGCCAAUCUUUAAACUUUGCCAAAGUUCGGAUUGUGGACUGCAACUCGUCCACAUGAAGGUGGAAUCACUAGUAAUCGCACAUCAGCAUGUUGCGGUGAA